rnacentral:lncRNA from 7 species
AUGGCAUCAGAAGACAUCUGGAAAAAAAAAACCAAAAUAUUUCACAGUAAAACAACCGUAGGCAGUCCACUCAUUAAACGUUACCACUUUUUUAGAGUGAGCAUCAGGCUUGUUUCAGUAAAAGAACUGCUGCUUCAAAGAAAUUUUUAUUUCCUGAUCACAGAUUUAAGAUGUUCCCGUUUGCACUCUUCAGUGAGCUCUUCAGCAAUACGCAGAGCCUUGACUCUCACCAACAGGAGAACAACUUCUUCAGUUUCAUCACUAUUACAAAAAAAGUUUGACACAGCAACACAUUCACACCUGACUUCAAAAUCAAUAAAGCUAAAAUCACAUUCACACCUGACUUCAAAAUCAAUAAAGCUAAAACGUGCCUUGAGCUACACUGACCACUAACUGCACCCAACAUCUAGAGCCUCAAACUAGCCUGAACUAGUACUGCAAAAGCAAUCCAUUUUACAUUAUGGAUUGCAUCUUUAGUUGUACGUAGAUUUUGGAAGUACAUCACUGAAAGUGUUAAAUGUAUGAGACUUGAGGAAUUUAAGAAUCAUAGAAUCAUUAAGGUUGGAAAAAAACACAAAGAUCAUCUAGUCCAACUGUCAACCCAUCACCACCAUGCCCACUGAACCACGUCCCUAAAAGAAAUAGGAACAUAAAGAAUAUGAGCAAGUGCUGCAUCCCAAAGAACAUGUUGUUUGUUACCUGUGGUUAUUCCUGUGAAGCAUACGUGCUCACUGAACCAAAUGCUGGCAGAAGUUCACUGACUCGGGGAGAGUUGACCCACUUCCAUGAUUUUGGAACCACCUUUCUGGGAAGCAUGCAACCACCUGUUCACCCAGAGAGCAUUCUGAAAGAAAAGAAAAAAGAAAAAAAAAGGGCUUUCAAUAAAACUAAGUCACACCACUUCUGGCAGACUUGUCCUUUUGGCUAGUUCAGUUAUUAUUGGAAGUGUUUACUCUUCAAAAAACAAAAACAUCAUUUUAAGCAGUUAUUCCUAAAAGCCUAGGAACCAAUGCUUGCUUUGAAAUUCUUUUAUACACCAAGGUCAUUAAAAAACAAAGAAACAAACAAAAAAACAACUUCAAAUGUUAACUAAUUAAACUUCAGACUACAUCUGUCCCCAUGGAAAUAAGACCUUUCACCUCUUUACACUUCUCUAUGUUUUCUGGCCCUGGUGGUGAAGAGGUUCAGAAGAAGGUAACCUUGAAGAGGUUCUGAAGAAGGUAACGAUUCAGCAGCUUGCUCAGUCCCACACCACGGACUGUGUCUUCCUGUACAGUCUCAUCCCAAAGGAGAACCUUGGAGAGCAGCUGCAGUAAUGGAGAAACAGAACAUGCAUAUCUGAUGGCUGAGGGUGCAUUAGAACCUCCUUUUUAAACUCAAAAGAUACCAUGUCCAUCCAAUCUCAGUACUCAAAAAACAGGAUUUAUUCUCUCCAAGCUUACUGCCAAUUAGUCACUAAAAAACUACCGAUCAUAAAUAGUAUUUUGAAGUAGAUUAAUUUUACAUGUGCCUAUGAGCUGUACCCUCAUACAUACACACAUCACCUCCCAAGGAAAUAAAGAGCAUGUUACCCUUCCAAUUCAUUAACAAUUUGCUAACAUACGGUACAUAAGAUUAAACGCCACCAGCCUCAUAACACAGGUAAGGUUGAUAGCCUUGAUCCAUAGCAGCAAAAAGAUUCUUUUGUACUUGACCUCAGUAUUAUUCGUUAGCAAGAGUUGUCUUCAGUUACCUGUUAUCACUAUAGAAAUGACUAUUUAAAAAGACUUAAGCCCAGUGUAAGAACAUGGCUGGUCUCCCCCUCAACACAGAAUGGUUAAUGUCAAGGUAACUGUUAACCUCAAGGUAGUUCACCCACACAGACACAGUACGUGAUCUUAGCAGUCACCAGUCAGAAAGCAGUCGCAAAGCCCACGACUACUGCAUACUUCUCUGGAGUGCUUGGCAGGACAAUUCCUUUUGACUCCAUGAGCUGCUAGGAAAGUUAGACUGUAUGAUGGCACAAAACCUCAUCAACUGUACUUCCUCAUUAAAAUAGUUCCUGUCCUCUUCUCACCCAGCCCUUUGUGAGUACUCUCCCAUACAAUUUCUGGGCAUGGUUUAGAGGACAUUCCCGAUAGGCAGCCUGCAGAUGAUCACCUGCUUUGAAAGACAGCACCAAUAGGGGCUGCACAACGGCAGUCUCAAACACAGAUAAGUCACACUAAUAAGCUGCUGAACAGAUCCAAAGAGUUUAAUGCAUGACCCGCAGUACUACUUACUCUGGGGUAAACAAAUUCACGACUUCACUCCAGAAAAAAAAGAGUGGCAAACUAUCAGAAAAUACCCAACAGAAACACAUAUUCAACCAUUCUGCACAUCACCACUUCUAAAGAGAACCCUGACAGUGAGGAUGGAAAACAAACUGAAAGGAGAAAACUUCAAUCUGCAGUGAAAGACCACUGGUCUCGCUUUUAGAAACUUGCAUGUAUUUGACAGGACAUUUAAGUCGGG